UACGGAGGGUGCAAGCGUUGAUCGGAAUUACUAGGCGUAAAGCGCGCGUAGGCGGUUUUUUAAGUCGGAUGUGAAAGCCCCGGGCUCAACCUGGGAACUGCAUCCGAUACUGGAAGACUAGAAUGCGGGAGAGGGAGGUAGAAUUCCAUGUGUAGCAGUGAAAUGCGUAGAUAUAUGGAGGAAUACCAGUGGCGAAGGCGGCCUCCUGGCUCGACAUUGACGCUGAGGUGCGAAAGCGUGGGGAGCAAACGGG
rnacentral:rRNA from 1 species